ACCAGAAUGGGACGGUAUAACUCCGCGCCAGCAGCCCCGGUAAUACGUAUGUAUCGCGCGAUCUUCUCGGAUUUUUUGGAAGUAAGGCGAGCGCAGACGGAUGAUUAUGUCUGUUAUGAACCCCCGGUUCUCUUCUCCGGAGUGGCAUUGGAAAAAGGUUAAAUUGAGUGUUGAAGAAAAAAGUAGACCCCCAUGUGUAGCGGUAGAAUGCGUAGAUAUGCAGAAGAACACCGGUGGUGACGGCGGUUUAGUGGACAACAACUGACGUCGAGGCUAGAAAGUGUGCGUAGCAAACAGUAUAAGAUACCCGUGGUACUCCACCCUGUAAACGAUGAAUACUAGGUGUUAGGAGGUUUCCGCCUCUUAGUGCAGAAGUUAACGCAUUAAGUAUUCCGCCUGGGGAGUACGACCGCAAGGUUGAAACUCAAAGGAAUUGACGGGGACCCGCACAAGCGGUGGAGCAUGUGGUUUAAUUAGAAACAACGAGAAGAACUUUACCAGGUCUUGACAUCCUUUGAAGCUUUUAGAGAUAGAAGUGUUCUUUUCGGAGACAAAGUGACAGGUGGUGCAUGGUCGUCGUCAGCUCGUGUCGUGAGAUGUUGGGUUAAGUCCCGCAACGAGCGCAACCCUUAUUGUUAGUUGCCAGCAUUCAGUUGGGCACUCUAGCGAGACUGCCGGUGACAAACCGGAGGAAGGCGGGGACGACGUCAGAUCAUCAUGCCCCUUAUGACCUGGGCUACACACGUGCUACAAUGGCGUAUACAACGAGUUGCCAACCUGCGAAGGUGAGCUAAUCUCUUAAAGUACGUCUCAGUUCGGACUGCAGUCUGCAACUCGACUGCACGAAGUCGGAAUCGCUAGUAAUCGCGGAUCAGCACGCC
rnacentral:rRNA from 1 species